UACUCACUAGUGUGAACAUAGGGCAUUGAGCAAGACCUGAGAUGACAUGAGGAAUCCUUAAAAGGAAGCAGACUCAAGAGGGAAUUGUGCUAUUAUAAAUCAUUACAGUCUAAUAGUAAAGACAAACAGUACUGAGUGUGUUGAAAGGAUAGGAGUCCUGCGAUGAGCACAGGACAGUGUUUAUGAUUAUAGCAGUAGGUUAACUUUCAACAUUUCAAGCAACAUCCAUCUCUGCCUUUUUUCUGUUAUUUCUCUCAGAUAACUUUGGUGUGUAUGUUGUAUGUGUGCAAGAGUGUAACGUUAAAGAAAGGAAGUGGUUUCAGAACUCCAUCUGCACCCUGCCUGCCUGUCAUCUGGGAAUACUUGCCUGGAAAUGGGAGCGGAGGAGGGAGAGGAGACAGGCUGGUCAUUAGCGGCUUAGCGGAGGUGUAGCACCAUGACAUGAGAGACAUGGAAAUGUGCCAAGAAGAAAGUGACAACACUGACAUGAGGGACAGGGACUCCAUCUGCCAAUGAGGAAUGCAAGGAAAACAUGAAGCAAGUUGUUUACAGGAGGAAAAAAAAGUUGCAUUUUAUUGCAAGUAGCCAAGCAUAUGUGUGGCAGCUUGGGGAAAUCUUUCACAUGGGUUGUGAGCCUGGAGCCUAUCCCAGAGAAAUUGGGGCACAAGGUGGAGGACACCCUGGAUGUGGUGCCAACCCAUCACAAGGCACAACUGCAUACACAGUCACACACUACAGACAAUUUGGAAACGCCAAUCAGCCUACAAGGCAUGUCUUUAGACUAGGGGAGGAAACUGGAGUACUGGGAGAAAAUCCCUGAAGCACAGGGAGAACAUGCAAAAACUCCACACACACACAGGGCGGAGGCGUUAUUCGAACCCCAACCCCGGAAGUGCGAGAAAAAAUUGUGCCAGUGAUUCUUACCCCUUCUGAUCUCCGGACCUGCCUGAUCCAUCCUGAUGCCCUACUUCUGGUUGGAGUUCUCAUCAAUGGGGCAUGUGGAGCAGCCUAAAAAUCACUGGAAUUGCUAAGGAUGGGGCCCACUUGGGAUUUGGACCUUAACUCAUAAGAACAGUUAUGCAAUAAUGGCCAGAGCUACAAAUUACUAUUAUAGCCUCAGUGCUGCAAUUGCCACAAACAGUUUUGCGUUCAAGUCUCCAUCAAUGAACAGUGGAAAAGUUCAACAAAAGAGACUUCAUGAAUUCAUUUUUAAUGAAUUUUAUCUGUGACCAUGUAGUAUUAGCGCAUUUAUAGAAGGGACUUAUUUAAAACUAUACUCUCCGUUAUCACCCAGAUGAGGAUGGGUUGCCUUUUGAGUCUCUGUUCCUCUCAAGGUUUCUUCCUCAUAUCAUCUAAUGGAGUUUUUCCUUGCCACCGUCACCUCCAGCUUGCUCAUUAGGGACAAUUUCAUACAUUUAAAAUGUAUAUUCUGAAUUCAUAUAUUUCUGUAAAGCUGCUUUGAGACAAUGUCCAUUGUUAAAAGCGCUAUACAAAUAGAAUGGAAUUAAAUUGAAUAAGGAAUCCAGGCCUGACUUUUACACUUUUAUUGCACUAAGAGAUCUUACAUUUUUAUUUGUUAGCUACUGAGUUACAUGUUUUUCUCGACUAUUAAACUGCACUAUCAUUGUGUUGUAA